UACGUAGGGUGCGAGCGUUGUCCGGAAUUACUGGGCGUAAAGAGCUCGUAGGUGGUUUGUCGCGUUGUCCGUGAAAACUCACAACUCAAUUGUGGGCGUGCGGGCGAUACGGGGCAGACGUGGAGUACUGCAGGGGAGACUGGAAUUCCUGGUGUAGCGGUGGAAUGCGCAGAUAUCGGGAAGAACACCCGUGGCGAAGGCGGCUCUCUGGGACGGUAC
rnacentral:rRNA from 1 species